rnacentral:tRNA from 1 species
UGGGGUGGGGCUCAGUGAUAGAGUGUUUGCCUAGAACGUGUAAGGCACUGGGUUCGAUCCUCAGCACCACAU